rnacentral:rRNA from 1 species
CUGCCGAUGCUUUAAAUGCAAGUCGAACGGCAGCACGGGGCAACCUGGUGGCGAGUGGCGAACGGGUGAGUAAUAUAUCGGAACGUGUCCGGAAGUGGGGGAUAGCUCGGCGAAAGCCGGAUUAAUACCGCAUAUGCCCUGAGGGGGAAAGGGGGGGAUCCGCAAGGACCUCUCGCUUUCGGAGUGGCCGAUAUCGGAUUAGCUAGUUGGUGAGGUAAAGGCUCACCAAGGCGACGAUCCGUAGCUGGUCUGAGAGGACGACCAGCCACACUGGAACUGAGACACGGUCCAGACUCCUACGGGAGGCAGCAGUGGGGAAUUUUGGACAAUGGGCGCAAGCCUGAUCCAGCCAUACCGCGUGAGUGAAGAAGGCCUUCGGGUUGUAAAGCUCUUUCAGCCGGAAAGAAAACGCAUCUCUUAAUACGAGGUGUGGAUGACGGUACCGGAAGAAGAAGCACCGGCUAACUACGUGCCAGCAGCCGCGGUAAUACGUAGGGUGCGAGCGUUAAUCGGAAUUACUGGGCGUAAAGCGUGCGCAGGCGGCUUUUUAAGCCAGAUGUGAAAUCCCCGGGCUUAACCUGGGAACUGCAUUUGGAACUGGAAGGCUAGAGUGUAGAAGAGGGGGGUAGAAUUCCACGUGUAGCAGUGAAAUGCGUAGAUAUGUGGAGGAAUACCGAUGGCGAAGGCAAUCCCCUGGACCUGUACUGACGCUCAUGCACGAAAGCGUGGGGAGCAAACAGGAUUAGAUACCCUGGUAGUCCACGCCCUAAACGAUGUCAACUGGGUUGUUGGGUGCAUUAGUACUCAGUAACGA